GCCCGUCGCUACUACCGAUUGAAUGGCUCAGUGAGGCGUCCGGACUGGCCCAGAGAGGUGGGCAACUACCACUCNGGCCGGAAAGCUCUCCANACUCGGUCAUUUAGAGGAAGUAAAAGUCGUAACAAGGUCUCCGUUGGUGAACCAGCGGAGGGAUCAUUACCGAGUUUACAACUCCCAAACCCCCUGUGAACAUACCAAUUGUUGCCUCGGCGGAUCAGCCCGCUCCCGGUAAAACGGGACGGCCCGCCAGAGGACCCCUAAACUCUGUUUCUAUAUGUAACUUCUGAGUAAAACCAUAAAUAAAUCAAAACUUUCAACAACGGAUCUCUUGGUUCUGGCAUCGAUGAAGAACGCAGCAAAAUGCGAUAAGUAAUGUGAAUUGCAGAAUUCAGUGAAUCAUCGAAUCUUUGAACGCACAUUGCGCCCGCCAGUAUUCUGGCGGGCAUGCCUGUUCGAGCGUCAUUUCAACCCUCAAGCCCCCGGGUUUGGUGUUGGGGAUCGGCGAGCCCUUGCGGCAAGCCGGCCCCGAAAUCUAGUGGCGGUCUCGCUGCAGCUUCCAUUGCGUAGUAGUAAAACCCUCGCAACUGGUACGCGGCGCGGCCAAGCCGUUAAACCCCCAACUUCUGAAUGUUGACUCG
rnacentral:rRNA from 1 species